AUGGCCCUCUCCUCGUCUUCCUCCACCCUUCUCCGCCGCCUCCUCGGCUCCACCCCCCUUUCAUCCUCCCGCUCCUCUGUACUUCGCGCCGCCUUCUGCUCCUCCUCCACGGCCCCCUCCCCCAUCUUGCCACCCCCGUCGACCAUCUUCGGCGACGACACCGAGGUCGCCAACGUGCCGCCGCUCACCACCCCCAAGCUUUUCGUCAGCGGGCUUUCAAGGCUAACGACAGAUGAGAAGCUCAAGAGCGCGUUUGCUCCCUUCGGACAGCUUCUUGAAGCAAAAGUCAUAACAGAUAGAGUUUCUGGGAGAUCAAAGGGCUUUGGUUUUGUAAGGUACGCGAGUUUAGAGGAAGCUGAGACCGCACGGCAGGAGAUGAAUGCCAAGUUUCUGGAUGGAUGGGUCAUUUUUGUCGACCCUGCAAAACAAAGGGAGCAGAAGCCUGCUCCUCAGCCGGAUACUGCUUCCUCGCACGCUGGCUUCACGAUAAAUAAAACUGUAGGAUGGUGUGGUUAG
rnacentral:rRNA from 1 species